AGGGCAAGUCUGGUGCCAGCAGCCGCGGUAAUUCCAGCUCCAAUAGCGUAUAUUAAAGUUGUUGCAGUUAAAAAGCUCGUAGUUGAAUUUCGGGGUUAGUAGGUUGGUCGUGCCUCAGGUAUGUACUGAUCUCACUGAUUCCUCCUUCCUGAUGAACCGUAAUGCCAUUAAUUUGGUGUUGCGGGGAAACUGGACUGUUACUUUGAAAAAAUUAGAGUGUUUAAAGCAGGCUAACGCUUGAAUACAUUAGCAUAGAAUAAUGAAAUAGGACGUUCGAUCCUAUUUUGUUGGUUUCUAGGAUUGACGUAAUGAUUAAUAGGGAUAGUUGGGGGCAUUAGUAUUCAAUUGUCAGAGGUGAAAUUCUUGGAUUUAUUGAAGACUAACUACUGCGAAAGCAUUUGCCAAGGAUGUUUUCAUUAAUCAAGAACGAAAGUUAGGGGAUCGAAGACGAUCAGAUACCGUCGUAGUCUUAACCAUAAACUAUGCCGACUAGGGAUCGGAUGAUGUUAAUUUUUUAAUGACUCAUUCGGCGCCUUACGGGAA
rnacentral:rRNA from 1 species